CUCAUUUUGGCUGGAAUAAGUAUUUUGUUCUCUCCCUUUGGUGUGCCUUGCCUGGCCUUUUCAGGUUGCUGCUUAUGGAUCUGCAUGGACACCGGCAUUUAGCAAUCACAUUCGUACACGUGAGCUCACGGAGUGUAAAGGGAGGAAGCUGGAGAGUCUAGUACCACGAACAGGUUCAUUUUCUACAGACAAGCAAGUGCACACGGGCACUCCUCCAUGUUUCCCAGAUAGGAGAGCGGCAGGCUGUUCAACAGGCCUUUGCUGACAUCUUUGUGUGUCGAUGCCUUAGUGAGCCAGAGGAUCGCACCGACAUCAAGAAGCAAAAGAGCAACAGACCCCAGCUGAGAGUUAGGUGGCCCCAGUAUGAGGCCUAAGGUCCCACGAGCUUGGGGGUUUAGUGGUUCCCGCUGUGACUGUUCAACCCAUGCCAACCUCCCUCGACCCACAGCUGUCGUGACAGCUCCACCCACUCCUCCUUGGGUGUGACUUUCCUGUGGCUUCCAGCAGGGCAGAGCAUCCUAAGCAACUGUUUGACGCC